CCAAUAGCGUAUAUUAAAGUUGUUGCAGUUAAAGAGCUCGUAGUUGAAUUUCGGGAUCAAAGAAUCGGUCAUGCCUUGGUAUGUACUGGUUUUAUUGGUUCUCACCUUCUAAAGAACCAUGAUGUCAUUCAUUUGAUGUUAUGGGGAAUUAGGACUGUUACCUUGAAAAAAUUAGAGUGUUUAAAGCAAGCUUACGCUUGAAUACAUUAGCAUGGAAUAAUGAAAUAGGACAUCAGAUUCUAUUUUGUUGGUUUCUAGGAUCGAUGUAAUGAUUAAUAGGGAUAGUUGGGGGCAUUAGUAUUCAAUUGUCAGAGGUGAAAUUCUUGGAUUUAUUGAAGACUAACUACUGCGAAAGCAUUUGCCAAGGAUGUUUUCAUUAAUCAAGAACGAAAGUUAGGGGAUCGAAGACGAUCAGAUACCGUCGUAGUCUUAACCAUAAACUAUGCCGACUAGGGAUCGGAUGAUGUUAAUUUUUUAAUGACUCAUUCGGCACCUUACG
rnacentral:rRNA from 1 species